GAGACAGCAGUCGCCACGGUAAUACAGAGGGUGCGAGCGUUAAUCGGAUUUACUGGGCGUAAAGCGUGCGUAGGCGGCUUCUUAAGUCGGAUGUGAAAUCCCUGAGCUUAACUUAGGAAUUGCAUUCGAUACUGGGAAGCUAGAGUAUGGGAGAGGAUGGUAGAAUUCCAGGUGUAGCGGUGAAAUGCGUAGAGAUCUGGAGGAAUACCGAUGGCGAAGGCAGCCAUCUGGCCUAAUACUGACGCUGAGGUACGAAAGCAUGGGGAGCAAACAGGAUUAGAUACCCCCGUAGUCCCUGUCUCUUAUAC
rnacentral:rRNA from 1 species